GCGGCGGAAGGGUGAGUAACGCGUGGGUAAGCUACCUCAAUGUUGGGGACAACCAGAUGAAAAUUUGGCUAAUACCGAAUGGGGUCCCCUGACAAAUGUCGGGGUGAUUAAAGGUGGGGCUCCUUAAUUGGACCUGCCGCUUUGAGAUGCACCCGCGUGCCAUCAGCUUGUUGGUAGGGUAACGGCCUACCAAGGCUUACGGCUAGCCGGCCUGAGAGGGUGACCGGCCACACUGGGACUGAGACACUGCCCAGACUCCUACGGGAGGCUGCAGUCGAGGAUCAUUCGCAAUGCGCGAAAGCGUGACGAUGCGACGCUGCGUGGGGGAUGAAGGCCUUCGGGUCGUAAACUCCUGUCAUGAGGGAAAAGUAUCCCCACAAUGAAUAGUUGUGGGGCUCGAUGGUACCUCAAGAGGAAGCCACGGCUAACUCUGUGCCAGCAGCCGCGGUAAUACAGAGGUGGCGAGCGUUGUUCGGAUUUACUGGGCGUAAAGGGUGCGUAGGUGGUUUUGUAUGUCGGAUGUGAAAGCCCAUGGCUCAACCGUGGAACUGCAUUCGAAACUGCAGAACUAGAGUGCAGGAUGGGAGAGCGGAAUUCUUGGUGUAGCGGUGAAAUGCGUUGAUAUCAAGAAGAACACCGGUGGCGAAGGCGGCUCUCUGGAAUGCUACUGACACUGAGGCACGAAAGCUGGGGGAGCAAACAGGAUUAGAUACCCUGGUAGUCCCAGCCGUAAACGGUGCACACUUGGUGUGGGGAGAUUUAACCCUCUCCGUGCCGGAGCUAACGCGUUAAGUGUGCCGCCUGGGGAGUACGGCCGCAAGGCUAAAACUCAAAGAAAUUGACGGGGGCCCGCACAAGCGGAGGAGCAUGUGGUUAAUUCGAUGCAACGCGAAGAACCUUACCAGGGCUUGACAUAUACCUGCAAGCCCCCUGAAAGGGGGGAAUCCUUCGAGGGUGGUAUACAGGUGCUGCAUGGCUGUCGUCAGUUCGUGCCGUGAGGUGUUGGGUUAAGUCCCGUAACGAACGCAACCCUUGUGACUAGUUGCCACCGGCGGUGAUGAGCCGCCGAGCACUCUAGUCAGACUGCCCGUACAAGCGGGAGGAAGGUGGGGAUGACGUCAAGUCAGUAUGGCCCUUACGUCCUGGGCUGCACACGUGCUACAAUGGUCGGUACAAUGGGAGGCAAUACCGCGAGGUGGAGCAAAUCCUGAAAACCGGCCUCAGUUCGGAUUGAAGUCUGCAACUCGACUUCAUGAAGU
rnacentral:rRNA from 1 species